CUCAUCUGAACAGUUGAUUUAAAACUAAGAAACAAUGGAGUUUUCAAAUUUUAAUCUUACUUCUUAAAAUAAAUACAUUUUUCCAACAAGGCAAGGGGAAGAUGUGGCUAAGGACAGAACAAUGACCUGGCAAUGCAAGAGUUUCAGUUCUGUCUCUGGGGGACCAGGACUCCACGAGUCAGUUACUGAAACCUUCAGAUCCAGCUUUCUGACUUGCAAGUGACAGGCUAAAUGAGAGUCCCAGGCUAAACUCAAGGGAGCAGCACAGUCUGAUGCUGUAUGUGUACUUCUUGACUUAGCAGUGGUAAUGGUGUGAUGAUAUAUUUAUGGAGUGCCGUGCUUGCGCAUUACAUGAAUCAUCUCAUUUAAUCUUCACAACCCCAUAAGCUAUUGUGAUCUUCAAUCUCAAAUGCUUCUUGGAGUGAUUUUAUUCUAGCCCACAGAAGAAAAUGAACUAUUUAGCUCCACACUUAAUGGCAAACUCCAUUUCAGCAUACGCAUUAAGCCCAGACUCCAGCAGACCCUGAUCAAUACAUUUGGUUGUGAGCCAUGAGGCCCUUCCUGCAGCCCGAGAUCCUCACUGGAGAUACAGGACUGCGAGCUGUCACGGAUUUAUGCUCUCUCAGCAGUACACUGACAAGCGAUGCCCCAGAAGCAGAGUAGAAAACCAUAUGAAGGCGAUCAGCGGGUCCUUGGGGGAACACUGACCAGCACGGACCAAGAAUCACACCUAAAAGUCAACACAACUAAGCCCCGCUGUGGCGCAUGGUGCUCCGUGUGAACUCUGGACUCUCUACCUUGAGUCAAAGCUGUUCUGGGAACCUCGGGGGCCCGCUUGGACUCAGGCUGAGGUGCUGCUCCUGAGGGCUCACGGAGCUGCUAAUCAGGUAGCCUGCUGUCCUUGUGUCUCUUCAGUCACCCAGACAGCUGUGAUUGGAAGAGUAACCACAGCUCCAUUCUCCCGAGGCAGCUGAAGGUACCCAGCAGAUUACACACCUAGCAGGACACGUGGCAGUAAGAAUUAUCUAUGGCAGAGUCCUUAUCACAGGCGCCCUCCAAUGUGACAAUUCUGCUCGUUAAGACUCAGAUUUAUUUCACUAGAGAGCUAUGGAACAAUGCAGAAACUGUUCCUUCCCCUGAAUGGCGAAGAGAAUAGGCUUUACAAAUAGGGUGCAAUUUUCCUGGAGAAUUUUAAAGCUCAUUAGAAGUUUCAAGAGUAACAGUACCGGAUCAACCGGAUACACACCAAGCAACAGUACAGAAUAAAGAGUACGAGAACAGUAGCAGUCAGCAACAUUUUCACAGCCAGUCAUGGAUGACCCACACAGGUCCGCAGAGUGAAGGGAUCUGAGUUCCUGGAUUCAUGCUUCUGUAUCUUCUGAAGAGAGACCACAAAUAGUUAAAAAAAAAAAAAUCUGCAUGUAUGUGCAGUACUUCAGAGAGAUUGGAACGGGUAAGUCGAACAUCCAAAACCUUUAAAUUAAUGCUUGGCUGUUAAACAGAGAGAAAAUAAUUAAGGGGCAAAACAUGUUUCUUGAAAAAGCUGACAUGAAAAACCGACAUCUGAGUUCAAAAGGCUCCAUUUGGACAAACUUGCUCAGGGAGCACGUGAAGUGAAAUGAUUCCUCACUCUCUCUAAUGCAUCUGCCCAUCAGUUGUUAAUGAAAGCACAGAGAAUCCAUGUUUUCUCUCAGCAAUUUAAUACAGUAUAAACUAGAAAAAAAUUACUGCUUAAAUCAGAUAACCCAUGCAAGAGUGUCCUGCACACAGUAGGCAACUGGUCAAAGUUAGCUUCCUUCCUAAUAUUUGAUUUGUCAACUUGCUCUUCUCAGAGGAUGUCCGCCUAACACAGACACAGGAGCUGUUGUACAGGAGAAAGAUGACCAAUAACACAACCCCCUUAGCUCUUCCAGGAGACCUGUAUGUAUUCCAACACAGUGGCCCAACAUUGCCCUGCCAGUUUUGAAGUGAAUUCUGAUGAGAAACAUUAUUCAUUUGUUGCUGUUCCAGGUAAUCCAUUUGAGAUGCUAUUUCUCAGAGUUUUUCUUUUUCUUUUCUUGUUUGGUUUUGGUUUUAAUAACAACAGCUGUGCUCUGAAUCAGCUUCUUUUUGUUCCUUGUAAAGUGACUGGAAUCUGGGGGUUUUGGAAGAUGCCUCUUCAUAGCAUUGAUCAAAGAUUCUUCUCCCUGAGAACUGGUUCACUCCCUAGUCGUACAUUAAUCAAACCCUCCCCUUUUUCUCAAGCGCCAAAAGUGUUUUCCUUCCCUCCUUCCAGCUCGAAGUCUGAUUCCACAUUAGGAAGGUUGAUGAAGUGGCUCUGUCGUGAGGAAGACGCAGAGGGGCUUUCAUCUCAAACACCACAGAUUCCAUCAUCCUCAGUCAGACUCAUUUACUCAACCAUAAGGCUGCGUCCUGUCUGCCCCCUUUGACCCUCCCUGGUGUGGGGUUGGAACCAACACCUGAGAAUUGGCAGCAGCCAAUCUUGCAUGUUUGUGAAGCGAUGACCUACAAGGGACAGCCUCCUGUGGGACAUGACCCUUGAACACACAUCCGGGAUCCCUUUCCAAAGGACCGCUCUGUGCUUUCUUUACGGUCAGCCUCUUUGCCCUUUGUCUUCAGUGAGUCAUUUUAUCUUUGGAAAUAAAUUUUUAUUGGUCAUCUGUAAUUCUCUUAGAUUUGAAGCUCUAAUUAGGAGUCAUCUUGGUCAUAUAAAACUUUUCUGUGCCUGAGCAGCACUGGGUAGCCAUUAUUUCACCCCACACAGCAAAUGCCUUAUUAUGCACCCACCGUGUGGCUUCCACAUCCUAUUCUCGUUGCCUGCAUUUGAGCUC